rnacentral:lncRNA from 1 species
CGAGGUGACUCUUCUGACCAAGGGUGGUUAAGUGACACAUAGAACUUUUCUAAGAGAAGACAGACAAGUUGACAGGCCUGUCUUGUACCCAGCUGUGUUUAUGUGGUGGUCUGUGGAAACAAAAGAAAAGAAGACUUAGUUGGAAAUGAAGCUGUCCCUUUCCAAGCAGUCUCUGGUGCUUUUCUUCUCUAAAAAUGGAUCCGAUAAAUAUUUGAAUAGAGCAGAUUGUAGAAUGUUGUGCUGCCACCAGAAAGCUGCUGCUUUGGGUUCUGCAUUGAGCCAAAUAUGUAGAGGACCUACCAAGCCCACUGAGGGACCAGGUUUUCAUGUCUCUAAUCGUACCUAGAAUGUUCUGAGCCAUCUAAGGGCCUUUAUGCCAGAAGCAGCUAGCAAAGCCAGAAAGCAAGUCUUAACAGGAUCUAAGAUGGCCAUCAGGAGAAGGAGUUUGAGACUGUGUGUGCAACCCCCAAUAGACCCCCUUUUAUUCUGAUCUGGAGAAUGUAUCUGGCUUCAUAUUUUAAAGUCACAUGUCUCUCAGACCCCUGGAUUCAGAACCCAAGGCCACAAAUCAUAGGCAUGAAGCACUUUCUUAAGACUGACCUAACGCUGGAUUAUUUCCCGUCUAAUGCCUGCAUGCUGCUUGAAUUGCUCCACCCACACCUCCAUGACCAAGGGCGCCAGAGUGCUGCAGCUCAGGCGUGGGCCGCUCUCUGCUUUUCCUGUCUGACUCUGACAAGUCCUCCCUCACUGAAUGUAGAAUCGUUGCCAAGUUUCUGAGAAGUGUCGAUUCCCUGUUAACAUGGAUAUCAGUUUUGCCUCACAUUUCCCACUUGAGGAUGAGGCGUACUGGAGACAACACCUCAGACCAUCUGAACCCCAUCAGUGGACGAAAAUGGGGCUGUUAAUAUACUCUAAAAGCCAUACUAAAAAUGCUCUGAGGGAACUGGCUAAGAAUAGUGGGCCUGGCGAUUGUCUAUCACGCAAGGCUUUGUUUUGUGCUGUUCAGAAAUCUGUCAUCUUUCUGCCUGCCCUUGUUGCCUGAAUGAAAUGCUUCUGGGGUUAUUUAUGAAGGAGUGAUCCUGGGGCCGGCAGGAAGCAGUGGGCUUUAUGGCUCCUUGAAGUUAUUACUGAUCUCGACCUUCUCUUUGGCUACCUUUAGACAAAGAAUAUGCCAAUCAAUACUUGGGGCUCUAAGUUUUACAAUUGAUAUUUAUUUGUAUCAUCUCUUUGUCUAGGAAUGUAAAAGUGAUUCUAAACUAAGAUGUGUAAUAAAAAUCAAUCAGAUUUAUUGUACCUACAAAAA